rnacentral:rRNA from 1 species
GAUGAACGCUGGCGGCGUGCCUAAUACAUGCAAGUCGAGCGAACAGACGAGGAGCUUGCUCCUCUGACGUUAGCGGCGGACGGGUGAGUAACACGUGGAUAACCUACCUAUCAGACUGGGAUAACUUCGGGAAACCGGAGCUAAUACAGGCUAAUAUAUUCAACCGCAUGGUUCAAUAGUGAAAGACGGUUUUGCUGUCACUUAUAGAUGGAUCCGCGCCGCAUUAGCUAGUUGGUAAGGUAACGGCCUACCAAGGCAACGAUGCGUAGCCGACCUGAGAGGGUGAUCGGCCACACUGGAACUGAGACACGGGCCAGACUCCUACGGGAGGCAGCAGUAGGGAAUCUUCCGCAAUGGGCGAAAGCCUGACGGAGCAACGCCGCGUGAGUGAUGAAGGUCUUCGGAUCGUAAAACUCUGUUAUUAGGGAAGAACAAAUGAUUAAGUAACUAUGCACGUCUUGACGGUACCUAAUCAGAAAGCCACGGCUAACUACGUG